AUGGGUAGAAUCAAUGUCAACCCUAUUUGGGGGAAGAUUUGGAUAUUGUCUUGUCCGGCAAAGGUAAAAAUCUUUAUUUGGCGUACGUUACAUAGUACACUCCCAUGUCGCGUUACACUGGCCAAUAGACACAUCAAGGUCACGCCUAUAUGCCCCUCAUGCACAAAUGAACAGGAAGACACGAAACACGUAUUGUUCCUCUGUCAGAAGGCAAAAGAGGUUUGGAAAAAACUGGGGUUGUGGGGCGUGAUUAAAGAAGCAUGUGUUGUUGAUAGGGCAGGAGAAGCAAUCCUUGAAUUUUUACUUCUGAAGCCAGAAAAUGAAAUAGCUACUCUAGGAAUCCAGAAUGUACGUGAACUAAUAGCUAUAACCGCUUGGUAUUUAUGGUGGGAUAGACAUAGGCUGGUUCAUGAAGGUAAGGCUCAAAACGCACAACUAUCCUCCAUGGGGAUUAGGGCAAUAACAACAAACUAUGUAAAUGCCCAUUCCCCGAAUGCAUCUAUUAAAAAAGGAGGAUGGAGCAAACCUCCUAUGGGACUUGUUAAGCUAAAUACUGAUGCUUCGUUUGAUCAUGAUCGGCUUAGUGGUACAACUGGGGCUGUUCUCAGAGAUGAUAAAGGAAGAUUUAUUGCCGGCGGAAACUGGAAGUUUGACUGGUGUGCAGAUGUUCUGACAGCGGAAGUUUUGGCCCUAAGGUUUGGAUUAUUACUUGCACAGAGGGCGGGAUGCAAUCGCCUAGAUGUCAACUCAGACAAUAUUGAAGUCAUCAACACAAUGAAGAAUGGAGGACAAUCAGCGGGAGCGACGGCGGCGGUUUUUGAUGAUUGCUAUUUUUUGGCUUGUGAUUUUUCUCUUACUAGGUUUGAGCAUUGUAAUAGAGAGGCAAAUAGGGUGACUCAUGAACUAGCUAAAUUAGCGAAAAUUUCCGUAACAAAUGAAUAUUUUGAGGAACCCAUGGAUGAAAUUGUACCUCUUCUUAUGGACGAUGUAACUGUUAUUUGCAAUUAA
rnacentral:rRNA from 1 species